AAGUCGAACGAAGGCUUCGGCCUUAGUGGCGCACGGGUGCGUAACGCGUGGGAAUCUGCCCUCAGGUUCGGAAUAACAGCGAGAAAUUGCUGCUAAUACCGGAUGAUAUCGCGAGAUCAAAGAUUUAUCGCCUGAGGAUGAGCCCGCGUAGGAUUAGCUAGUUGGUGUGGUAAAGGCGCACCAAGGCGACGAUCCUUAGCUGGUCUGAGAGGAUGAUCAGCCACACUGGGACUGAGACACGGCCCAG
rnacentral:rRNA from 1 species